UACAGAGGGGGCGAGCGUUGUUCGGAAUUACUGGGCGUAAAGGGCGCGUAGGCGGCCGCCUAAGUCAGACGUGAAAUCCCUCGGCUCAACCGGGGAACUGCGUCUGAUACUGGGUGGCUUGAAUCCGGGAGAGGGAUGCGGAAUUCCAGGUGUAGCGGUGAAAUACGUAGAUAUCUGGAGGAAUACCGGUGGCGAAGGCGGCAUCCUGGACCGGCAUUGACGCUGAUGAGCGAAAGCUAGGGGAGCAAACGGG
rnacentral:rRNA from 1 species